GCCACCGUGGUGUAGCGGUGAAACACGUCUGACCCGGUUUGUCAGAAGACGUGGGUUCGAAUCCUAUCAGUGGCG